UACGGAGGGAGCUAGCGUUGUUCGGAAUUACUGGGCGUAAAGCGCACGUAGGCGGCGACUCAAGUCAGAGGUGAAAGCCUGGAGCUCAACUCCAGAACUGCCUUUGAAACUAGGUUGCUUGAAUCCGGGAGAGGUGAGUGGAAUUCCGAGUGUAGAGGUGAAAUUCGUAGAUAUUCGGAAGAACACCAGUGGCGAAGGCGGCUGGCUGGACCUGACCUGACGCUGAGGCGCGAAGGCGUGGGGAGCAAACAGG
rnacentral:rRNA from 1 species